GACGAACGCUGGCGGCGUGCCUAAUACAUGCAAGUCGAGCGGACUGAUUAAGAGCUUGCUCUUAUGACGUUAGCGGCGGACGGGUGAGUAACACGUGGGCAACCUGCCCUGUAGAUCGGGAUAACAACGAGAAAUCGGUGCUAAUACCGGGUAAUAUCUGAGAUCACAUGAUCUUAGGUUAAAAGAUGGCUCCGGCUAUCACUACAGGAUGGGCCCGCGGCGCAUUAGCGAGUGGGUAAGGUAAUGGAUUACCAAGGCGACGAUGCGAAGCCGACCUGAGAGGGUGAGCGGCCACACAGGGACUGAGACACGGCCCAGACUCCUACGGGAGGCAGCAGUAGGGAAUCUUCCGCAAUGGACGAAAGUCUGACGGAGCAACGCCGCGUGAGUGAUGAAGGGUUUCGGCUCGUAAAGCUCUGUUGUUAGGGAAGAAACAGUACCGAACGAACUAGGUCGGUACCUUGACGGUACCUAACCAGAAAGCCACGGCUAACUACGUG
rnacentral:rRNA from 1 species